AGCUGAGUUUGAUCCUGGCUCAGAUUGAACGCUGGCGGUAUGCCUUACACAUGCAAGUCGAACGGUAGAGGGGCAACCCUUGAGAGUGGCGAACGGGUGAGUAAUACAUCGGAACGUGCCCAGUCGUGGGGGAUAACGUAGCGAAAGCUACGCUAAUACCGCAUACGACCUGAGGGUGAAAGCGGGGGACUCGCAAGAGCCUCGCGCGAUUGGAGCGGCCGAUGGCAGAUUAGGUAGUUGGUGAGGUAAAGGCUCACCAAGGCUUCGAUCAGUAGCUGGUCUGAGAGGACGAUCAGCCACACUGGGGACUGAGACACGGCCCAGACUCCUACGGGAGCAGCAGUGGGGAAUUUUGGACAAUGGGGCGAAAGCCUGAUCCCAGCAAUGCCGCGUGUGCGAAGAAGGCCUUCGGGUUGUAAAGCACUUUGUCAGGACGAACGUGGGGGCU
rnacentral:rRNA from 1 species